GACUGGUACCAAGGAGUGGGGUAUUGAUUGACCAGAUCCAACUCACCCCUUUAUACCUGAGAUGAGGUAUUGGUUAAGCAAUUGGCCGUAAGGAGAAAGACAGGCCCCAUUUACCAAGGUCCAUAUACGGUGGAAAAGGUCCCUUGAAGAUAAAGACCCCAGAAGCCCCGAUGGCUCCCCCCUUGGAGCGAGGGCU